CCUACGGGAGGCAGCAGUGAGGAAUAUUGGUCAAUGGACGAGAGUCUGAACCAGCCAAGUAGCGUGAAGGAUGACUGCCCUAUGGGUUGUAAACUUCUUUUAUAAAGGAAUAAAACGAGGCACGUGUGCCUUUUUGCAUGUACUUUAUGAAUAAGGAUCGGCUAACUCCGUGCCAGCAGCCGCGGUAAUACGGAGAUCCGAGCGUUAUCCGGAUUUAUUGGGUUUAAAGGGAGCGUAGAGGGGUGGUUAAGUCAGUUGUGAAAGUUUGCGGGUUAACCGUAAAAUUGCAAUUGAUACUGGCAGUCUUGAGUACAGUUGAGGUAGGCGGAAUGCGUGGUGUAGCGGUGAAAUGCUUAGAUAUCACGAAGAACCCCGAUUGCGAAGGCAGCUUACCAACCUGUGACUGACAUUGAUACUCGAAAGUGUGGGUAUCAAACAGGAUUAGAUACCCGGGUAGUC
rnacentral:rRNA from 1 species